UCCCUGUAACACAAUGGAUAGCGCAUUGGACUUCUUAUCCAAAGAUCAUGGGUUUGAAUCCCACCGGGAAAA